UACAGAGGGUGCAAGCGUUAAUCGGAAUUACUGGGCGUAAAGCGUGCGUAGACGGUUACAUAAGUCGGGUGUGAAAGCCCCGGGCUCAACCUGGGAAUUGCAUUCGAGACUGCGUAGCUAGGGUGCGGAAGAGGGAAGCGGAAUUUCAGGUGUAGCGGUGAAAUGCGUAGAUAUCUGAAGGAACACCAGUGGCGAAAGCGGCUUCCUGGUCCAGUACCGACGUUCAGGCACGAAAGCGUGGGGAGCAAACAGG
rnacentral:rRNA from 1 species